CAGAUCACAACUGAUAUAGAGGUUUAUUUUGCCAAAAUUGUGGAUUUGCCUGGGGAAAAAGAAACACAGGUUACAGUAGGAUUUUUGGCCUGUACUUUUUUCCAAAUAUUUAAGGGAAAAGCGCCGGUAGGAGGGGAAAGAGGGGAGAGUAGGCUAUGAGGCAAGUGGUCACAUUUUUGUGAGGCUCUGAUUAGAGUACAGCAAAUCUACAUUUCACAUGUGAAAAGAAAGGUAUGGGGGAGGGUUAUACAUCUGUCUCAUACUCAGUAGAUCUACAUUUCACAUAAGAUAAAGUAAGCUUUUGGGAACAAAAAGAAGGCAUGUAUGUGUGUGUGUGUGUGUGUGUGCGUGUGUGUGUGUGUGUUGCCAAUAUUAACUUUUCCCUUUGGCAUAGUAAGUUUGGAGGCCUGAGAUUUUAUUUUUCUUUCACUGAUGUGUCAAGAUUAACUGCAUAUGGAAUACUAGUAGAAAUUGCCAAGCCAAGACCCCACCACCACAAUAGGGGACAUAGUAAUAUUAAAUUUAGCCCAAUUGGCCAGCAUCCACACAAUUCCUAGUGAAAGAAUUCCUGGCUGGAUGGUAAAGAGGUAAACUAACUGCAGAAACUCACAAAGCAACAAAAGAAGUCCACAGAAUAAGAGCAGGAAUUCAGAGAGUAACCACAGAGAGAUCCACAGAGUAACAGCAGGAAUUCACAGAGUAACAGCAGAACCCACAGUGUAACAUCAGAGCCCACAGAGUAACAGCAGAGCCCACAAAGUAACGUCAGAACCCACAGAGUAACAGCAGAGCCCACAGAGUAAUGUCGGAACCCACAGAGUAACACAAGAGCCCAGAGAGUAACAGCAGGACACACAGAGAAAUAGCAGGAACCCACAGAGUAACAUCAGAGUCCACAGAGUAAUAUCAGAACCCACAGAGUAAAAACAGGACCCACAGUGUAACAUCAGAGCCCACAGAGUAACAGCAGGAAUUCACAGAGUAACAUCAGAACCCAUAGUGUAAUAGCAGAGCCUACAGAGUAACAGCAGGAACCCACAGAGUAAUAGCAGGAACUCAGAGUAACAGCAGAAACCUACAGAACAGGAUCAGAAACCCAUGGAGUAACAGCAGGAAGCCAUGAAGCAGUUCUGUCCAACUUAGGUCAGCAUAUUCAUGGUCUUGGGUCUUCUUUGUGUGUGCUUUCUACCAGGACUGGGCUUAGCUCUGUGCUUGUGAAGAGUAACCCACUCAGUGCCCUCUGAAAUUUCGCCACUGGAGGAGGAGAAAAACCCCAGAGGGGCGGGGAGAAACGCUUUUCAAAACACAUGGUGCAGCUGGA
rnacentral:lncRNA from 1 species